rnacentral:rRNA from 1 species
UGACUGAGUGGCGGACGGGUGAGUAACGCGUGGGUAACCUGCCUUGUACUGGGGGAUAACAGUUGGAAACGGCUGCUAAUACCGCAUAAGCGCACAGUACCGCAUGGUACCGUGUGAAAAACUCCGGUGGUAUGAGAUGGACCCGCGUCUGAUUAGCUAGUUGGUGGGGUAACGGCCUACCAAGGCGACGAUCAGUAGCCGGCCUGGGAGGGUGAACGGCCACAUUGGGACUGAGACACGGCCCAAACUCCUACGGGAGGCAGCAUG